CACGUAGGCGGCCUGUCAAGUCGGAUGUGAAAACCCAAUGGCUCAACUGUGGGACUGCAUUCGAAACUGGCAGGCUAGAGUCCAGUAGAGGAAAGUGGAAUUCCCAGUGUAGCGGUGAAAUGCGCAGAUAUUGGGAAGAACACCGGUGGCGAAGGCGGCUUUCUGGGCUGUGACUGACGCUGAGGUGCGAAAGCUAGGGGAGCGAACAGGAUUAGAUACCCUGGUAGUCCUAGCCGUAAACGAUGGGCACUAGGUGUGGGGAGUGUCAACUCUUUCCGUGCCGAAGCUAACGCAUUAAGUGCCCCGCCUGGGGAGUACGGUCGCAAGGCUAAA
rnacentral:rRNA from 1 species